AUCGUCAUCCUCGUCUUCGCCUUCAGACCAUGGCGCUUUUUAUCGCUCUCGCACCGUCAAGCUGUUUCGAAAUGUAUAUUUCAACCAUGAAUAUCAGUUAUGGCAAGUAGUUUGGUGGAUUUAAUAUGGUUGGUGAAUUGGAGAGAUCUCUUGUAUCAAAUGAUGUAGAUGUAGCCCUAGAUCAAAGCAACAAUUUGACAA